GAAUGGAUGGUGGUCAGCACCAAGGACAGGUGUGUUUGUGUGUGGAUGGUGGUCAACACCAAGGACAGGUGUGUUUAUUA
rnacentral:pre_miRNA from 1 species